GGGGACUCCCGAAACAUCAUAUUUGCAAUGCCAAUAUGAUGCGUAACGGUGCAGACUACGCUGUCUUCAUCAACACUGCUCAAGAGUUCGAUGGAAGUGACUCCGGAGCGCGCCCAGAUGAGGCUGUUUCUUGGGGCAAAAUUCGAGGUUCAGCCAAGACUGUCAAGGUACAUUGCGACGCCACAAUUGCUUUCCCGUUGCUCGUCGCAGAAACAUUUGCCUCAAGAAGAGAAAAGGAAAUGGAGGUCAAUGUCGGAGUCUCG
rnacentral:misc_RNA from 1 species